CCCCACCCUGGAAUGGUUGCUGCUAGCAAGAGGAAUCUUUCUAAGGUUGGACCACAGUCUACUAGGAAAGAAAUUCACUCAACGAUGGGAGCUGCUUACCACAUUCAUGCUCUUGGACAACUCUUCACUCCCAUGGGCAGGAGUCUGGCAUGAUGGUAACUUCGGAUGAUGUAGAGGCUGCAUAUUUCAACGGGCCAGUGGCCACGGAUAGCGAGUAUCACGGUUUUAAUAAGUGCAAGCCCAGGACUUUGUGAAGAGGGAGGUGCGGGCACCGUAAGCUAAACUGCAUUCCUACAGGUUUUGGAUCGCAGCUUCUCGAACCCUUGGAGGGCGAAGCCAAUUGUCCGGACAUCAUUCUUCGGGGUCAGAUUGCCUCACAAACAACUCGAGUUCUACUUCUUGGAUAAUUCCCGAAACUGGUUUUCUAAUAACUUCAGAUGAAGACUGUGAGGUUCAAAGAGCACUCAAAUUGCAAAGCCUGAAAUCCAAACCCCACUCUUCUCUUCAUUUACACAAAGAUGUGAACAUCCUGUGUAUGUGCGUGUAUACGCCUAGUACUUUGUAUGCAUCUGUCAUCGAAUUUCUCUGCAACUUGCUCUUCUCACUUAAUACUGCAUCAUACAUGUCUCCAAGCGAAGAUGUGAAUCUGACUCGUUCUUUAAGUAGUUGCACGAUAACCUGCACCAUAUGGAUGCAUCUCAGUCUAUUCAACUAUUCCAUCUUUUUUUUUUAAGCUUUAUUUAUUUGAGAGAGAGAGAGCGCGCGUGCUCACAUAAAUGGGAGGAGCAGAGGGAGAGGGAGAAAGAACCUUAAGCAGACUCUUUGCUGAGCACGGAGCCUGAUGUGGGGCUUGAUCUCAUGACCCUGAGAUCACGACCUGAGCCAAAACCAAGAGUCUGCUGCCUAACUGACUACACCACCCGGGCGCCCCUCAACUAUUCUAUUCUUCUGGACAUGAAGGUUGCUUCAAGUUUUUGCCAUCACAAACACAACUGCAUGCAAUAAACAUCCUUGUGUCUAUGUCCUCCUGUACUGG
rnacentral:lncRNA from 12 species